AACUCACUGCGCAUGCUCAGUAAAUAAAUGCUGGUUAAUGUACGUUAAAGGACGACUCCUCUCGCCAGCGCUCUUCAUCGCUUCUCCUACCUGCCUGUGAGCGUACUUGAGGUUUAAUUUUCUGGCCUUGAAGCUCAUUUUCUUUACAUCCCUUAAUCAAUUUUAUGACAUUUUAUUGGACUACUCUAAACUGUCCUGAGCUCUUCUGAAAUUCAAGAACAAAAACAAAGGAUGACUUUGAAGACCCAGCAAGAAACAGGACCCAUUAGGAAAGGGUCUUUAGCAGAAGGUUGUAAUGUGAAAUCACUUGAGCUAAUUUGCUGCAAAUCACUGCUAAAUCUAUUGCAGUGGGCAGAUCUGAACGGGCAAUUUCACAGGAGGAGAUGAGCUAACCUGAUCCUUACUCAUCUGCAAAUCCAUUUAGUCUUAUAGUGUCAUGUGCCUCUAAUUCGGGCAGCAGGGUAGGAUACCAACAGAAAUGGUGAACUCACUCUCCAGUUCCAACCAUUAGGCUCCUGGUUUUUACAUUUGGACGGGACAUUUGAUACAAUCUCCCACGUCUUGGCAGGUGAACUACUUUACCGAGGAGGAACCUGGGACUUGUCACAUGUCAGUGACUGGGGGAGCCGGAACCAGAACCCAGGUUUUCUGUCCCCUCGUGUUACUUUUCCUCAGCAGCACACGUGGAUGAAAGGGUCUGCUCAGAGUUAUAGCACGUGCAUCGCCUAGGGCCAAACUGAAGAAUUCACAGUGUAAUGGUGUGCUCAUUUUGCUGACUGGGAUAGAUUCAGGAAGGAUUUCUGGAAAUAGCAGGCCCCAAAGCAACUGAACUGAAAAAGAAAAAAAGGAAUGGGAAGCCACAGAAGUAGAGGAUGGAAUGUGUUUAGGUGCUUACAGAAAAUCCUCACUAAAAUAUUGUGCAGGGCUAGACAGGCAGGUAAGGUUGGCCUUCGCACAUAGUCCUAAAAGGGGAAUAGCAGAAAUUAGAAUGUGUAAAAAUAGAAGGAAGCUAGUGCCGGGUCCAAAUUUGAAACUAACCAAAAGUCCCCUGGGGUACGCGUGCAUCCUGCCCUCAGAGCCUCUUUUCACCCCAUCGGUUCCUGGCACCAAUGCGACCCAGCAUCUUCUUCCAGUUGGGACAAAACUUCCUCUGACACACUCACCCAGGCUAAGGUAGUGCACACUUGAAAUACUCCCCCCUGUGGGCCAUUCCAAUUUUCAAAGGUCGUAAGGGGGAGGAGAUGAUUAACCCAUAUGGACUUAUCACUAAUGGUGACAUGUCAAUCAUUGAUGAGGUAGUGGUUUCUUGGGCUUGUCACCUGACAGAAAGGAGGGCGCUUAUAUACGUCAUCUGUGACUAACUUGACAGAGGGUGUGGUGAACCCCGGUGGGGGGGUGGGGCUUGUGCUCAGCACAAUCUUCCUGCUGGGAGAUUAGUUCAGAACCCAUUGCCACUGGACCCAGACUCCAGCCCCUGGUCCACUGCUAACAAUGGGUGACUGAGGACAGAGCACUGCUCCCGGCUGGCUUCCUCUUUUUUCCCUCACUUAGUAGGAAAGCUAUGCAUGGCCUCAAAGACCCCUUGUCAUCUGACUGUAUGAUUCUAGCUGUUCCCUCAUCCUUCCCUUACUUGGGAAAUUUCCCUUGUUUCUGAUAUUAAAACAGUAACCGUGCCUUUCUGAUAGCCUCAUAGUAAAUAAGAUCAUCUCUAUAAAAAGGGCUUAGAUAAAUUCCUGACACACAGAAAGCACCCAUAGAUGUUAAGUCUGCAUCAUUUUAAAUGCGGAUGAAUGAUAAAUCGGCAGGUUUUUACACCUCCCCUGAUUCUCUCUAUAAGGCACAACACACAGGCUCAUCAUUAUCAAAGUGUACAUUUCCACCAAUUUAUGGCGUGUUAGGAAGAACAAUUCCCUUAAGACUAAUCGAUCUAAUACAAUACCUCGCUCCAGCUAUGUUAAGAAUCUCUCAGUGGCUCUUCGUGGCCUCUGAGAUAAAGUGCCCUCUCCCUGGUUGUCUUAUGGUCUACUGCUUCCCUUCAUACACCGUGGUUGACUCGAGCUCAUGAAAUAUACCAUGCACUAUAUAUGCAUAUAUUUGGCACCAAUGGCUCCUUCUACGUGGAAUGCAUUUUCCCAGCCCUCGCCCCUUCUGCCCGGCGCUAUAGCAUUCACCCUUCAAGGCCCGAGUCAAAGGUCACUUUCUUUGUGAGCCUCUGCUUCCUUCCCUUGGCAGACAGGAGUUCUCCUCCUUCUCCAGAUUCACAGGUCGCUUUAUUUGCUCCUCCAGCAGAGCAUGCAUCUCAAUCUAAGUCAACCUGCACCAGUGGGUUGGCCGGCGUUCUCUCCUCGAAAGAUGCUUGAGGGCGCAGAUUCUGUCUUACUCAUGCCCUGUGAUCACCUCGAAGGCCAGGAGGAGAGAGGUCAAGAGAUGACCCUGGGGUCAGUGGGUAGGAAAAGUGCCCGAAGAUGUGGUGAAGCGGGAAGGACGUUAAGAGCAAAACCCCUGACCAACCAACCUGGCCGAAAAAACAAAGAUAAAUGUUGGAGCCAGGAGGGAAGCUGACAGACAGAAAAUCUUGUGCCAGCUGCAGGGAGGCUCAGAGGCAUAACCACUCUGGGGGCAGAGAGGCAGUCCUGGGAUGACUGGGCUGGAGUCAUGUGGCUGGUGAGGCCAGGUGGCCCGGAUCUAAACACGUACAACAUGGUACGUGCUAGCAUUUCUUUGACGCAGUUUCUGAGAGAUUUAGCUCAGAGUGGGAGCAACACAGAUCUGUAUGGGAUACGUAAGGAUCUAGAUGCUCUCAAUCCCCUGAAAGCCCAGCACAUAGGAGGCCUUGAGCACGCGCUACAGUACUUUCAGCCACGGGUGGCCUCAGCUUCUUCCCACUGCCCUUCCCCUCACUCUCCACCGGCGCUCCCAACAGACAUAUGCGCUGCCCUCCAACUCUGCAUCCAUUUCUGGUGCUUCCCCCAUUCCAAUCACCCGACACACGUCAAGCUCGCUUCCACCCCUUUACGACCUGCCACGUUCUCACCAGGAUUCCUCCUGGCUUGCUCCCUCAUUUCCUUUAUUUUGGUCCUCAGAUAGCCCGAACUGAUUAAAAAUGAAAAGGCAAAUCUUCCCCGUAUCCACGCUAAUGCACUCUCCAUCCCUGCAACCUAGCUUUAUUUUUCAGCCUAACAUGUUCAUUACCUGACUUCCUGCAUAUUUACUUGUUGAGCACUUGAUUUCCAUCUCUGGCCCCGUAGCAUGUUGCAUUUCCAGAGGGCAGGGACUCCUCUAUUUUGUUCUCUGAUGUAUCCCAACACCUCUAGCAAGGCUUAGGUCACAGUAGGCACUAAAUAAAACUAAGCAGAGUGAAGCCAGAAUGCUCCAUUACUUCCAGCUACGACAAGUCAUUGGACGAAAAAUGGAUGCUGUCUCACUCCAUCUACAUAUGUCUCUCUAACGCCAGCUUGAAUCUCCAUGAAGUUCACUGCCUAUCUGAAGGCAGCCCAUGUUCAGGUGCGGACGUUACAAUGCUUCAGUCACUCCAAAAGCCCCAAUUCUCUCCGAACCGUACAUAUUGCCUCCCCUUCCUUAUUAAUAAAUCCCAGCAUACCCACCCACGCAAUCACAACUGGCUCUGACACUCAAUGUCAUUUCUCCAAAGGAAUGGGGAGAAUGUAGCAGAAAGCAAAAGUUGGAAACCUCUCAGAGCAUCCCUGCUACCAUUCCAGCUCAUUUUGAAUGGAAGCUGAUAAAGAUUGACUACCGUUAUGUGGUAGCGAUUCAUCAUACUUAGAGUCUCUCUUUUGAACAUCAAUCUUAUAAAUUCACCGGGAGACAUAAUAGUGUAAAUAUAUUAUUCAUAAACUAGAGUGAAUCCCCACUCACCACCAUAACCAUUUUGGCAAUAAAUCAUAACAUGUAAAUGGUU